rnacentral:misc_RNA from 1 species
UCCGGCUUGUCACCGGCGGUUUCUUCAGAGUGCCCGGCCUGACCCGGGGGCAACUGAAGAUGAGGGUUGCGCUCGUUGCGGGACUUAACCCAACAUCUCACGACACGAGCUGACGACAGCCAUGCAGCACCUGUGUUCCACCCGGCCGAACCGAAGGAUCUGAUCUCUCAAAUCCAUAAUGGACAUGUCAAAAGCUGGUAAGGUUCUUCGCGUUGCGUCGAAUUAAACCACAUACUCCACCGCUUGUGCGGGCCCCCGUCAAUUCAUUUGAGUUUCAACCUUGCGGCCGUACUCCCCAGGCGGCAUGCUUAAUGCGUUAGCUGCGACACAAGAGAGCUAAGCCCUCCAACGUCUAGCAUGCAUCGUUUACGGCGUGGACUAC